UACGUAGGGGGCAAGCGUUGUCCGGAUUUAUUGGGCGUAAAGAGCUCGUAGGCGGUUCCGUAAGUCGUGAAGUCAAAUCUCUGGGCUCAACCAGAAUCGCUUCCGAUACUGCGGUGACUGGAGUCCGGUGAGGGGAGUGUGGAAUUCCUGGUGUAGCGGUGAAAUGCGCAGAUAUCAGGAGGAACACCAACAGCGAAGGCAGCACUCUGGGCCGGUACUGACGCUGAGGAGCGAAAGCAUGGGGGAGCGAACAGG
rnacentral:rRNA from 1 species